rnacentral:rRNA from 1 species
GUAGGUGGCAAGCGUUGUCCGGGAAUUAUUGGGGCGUAAAGCGCGCGCAGGCGGUUCUUUAAGUCUGAUGUGAAAGCCCACGGGCUCAACCGUGGAGGGUCAUUGGAAACUGGAGAACUUGAGUACAGAAGAGGAAAGCGGAAUUCCACGUGUAGCGGUGAAAUGCGUAGAGAUGUGGAGGAACACCAGUGGCGAAGGCGGCUUUCUGGUCUGUAACUGACGCUGAGGCGCGAAAGCGUGGGGAGCAAACAGGAUUAGAUACCCUGGUAGUCCACGCCGUAAACGAUGAGUGCUAAGUGUUAGGGGGUUUCCGCCCCUUAGUGCUGCAGCUAACGCAUUAAGCACUCCGCCUGGGGAGUACGGCCGCAAAGGCUG